rnacentral:rRNA from 1 species
AGGACGAACGCUGGCGGCGUGCUUAACACAUGCAAGUGGUGCGACGAACCAGGGCUUGCCCUGGGGCUAAGCCGCGAACGGGUGAGUAACACGUGAGUAAUCUGCCCCGAUGACCGGGACAACCCGAGGAAACUCGGGCUAAUACCGGAUGUGGUGCACGGGUAUAAGCCUGUGUACUAAAGGAAGCUUCGGCCUCCGCAUUGGGAGGAGCUCGCGGCCCAUUAGCUUGUUGGUGGGGUAACGGCCUACCAAGGCAACGAUGGGUAGCUGGUCUGAGAGGACGAUCAGCCACACUGGGACUGAGACACGGCCCAGACUCCUACGGGAGGCAGCAGUGGGGAAUCUUGCGCAAUGCGCGAAAGCGUGACGCAGCAACGCCGCGUGGGGGAAGACGGCCUUCGGGUUGUAAACCCCUUUCAGCAGGGACGAAGCGAAAGUGACGGUACCUGCAGAAGAAGCGCCGGCUAACUACGUGCCAGCAGCCGCGGU